rnacentral:rRNA from 1 species
GCGGCCUAUCAGCUUGUUGGUGGGGUAAUGGCCUACCAAGGCAACGACGGGUAGCUGGUCUGAGAGGAUGAUCAGCCACACUGGGACUGAGACACGGCCCAGACUCCUACGGGAGGCAGCAGUGGGGAAUCUUGUGCAAUGGGCGAAAGCCUGACGCAGCAACGCCGCGUGCGGGAUGAAGGCCUUCGGGUUGUAAACCGCUUUCAGCAGGAACGAAAAUGACGGUACCUGCAGAAGAAGGAGCGGCCAACUACGUGCCAGCAGCCGCGGUGACACGUAGGCUCCAAGCGUUGUCCGGAUUUAUUGGGCGUAAAGAGCUCGUAGGCGGUUUAGUAAGUCGGGUGUUAAAACUCUGGGCUCAACCCGGAGACGCCAUCCGAUACUACUAUGACUUGAGUUCAGGAGGGGAGACUGGAAUUCCU